rnacentral:lncRNA from 1 species
AAAAAAAUAGGUUAAAAUUUUACCUAGCUGAAAAACUCCACAGCACUGUUUAACUGGAUUUUGCUUAGCCCUCAUAAUAGAUUUGGAAGUGAGAAAUUCACAAGCUGCAACUUGUUUAGUUCCUUCUCAGAAAAAUUUAAAAUUUACCCAAGUUUACCUGUCGCCCACGAUUUGACAUGAAUCCAGUGGUCAAUAGUUCUUUCAUGUUUGCAUCAAUGAGAGGAUACCUAAAAAGUCGGGAAUUCUAGACAAAUCAACAUGUACCAAAAAAAGUUACAGAGCAUCACUUGUCCCUUCACUUUCGUGGGGGUUAACACAGAAGGGGAAUGCAGGAUCGAGUGAAAUAACAAGAAUUAUAAUGGGUCAGAGUCGCUGGAAAAAUACCCUGUCUGACCGUUUCUCCAUGAAUCAAACAAUGUCGGAUUUUGGCUCCAGUUAGCCUCCACUUUUCGAGGACCACCUGAUAUAGAAAGGCAUAAACCUAAAAUUAGGAAAUCAGUUACCUAAAGUGAUAGAAUAAUAGCCUUCCUCUAUUCUGAAUAAAGCAUUACAUAUGCUGAUCUUAACAUACUUAAUAUUUUAAAAUGAACACUGGAAUUAACUGAACCCAUUGUUCCAAAAAGCAACCUUAUUUUUCUGAACCCUGCAAUGGCACCUGCUAUCCCAAAGUUAUUAUUAAAAACUACACUGACUUGCAGUGUGAUCAGCAAGGGUUUGCCUAGAGAAAUUGUAGGAAAUGGCUACUGUUCUCCGUCCAUUUAUGAAAAGGCCACUUUAACUGAUUAUGAAAAUGACAACUUUUGAUAAGAAGUUCUAAAAUACCUUUAAUAUCAAUUCGCUCGAGGUAGUUCAUAUUGUCACUAAAGACAGAUAACUGUUGCAAAGGCUGAUUGUUGGGCAACUAUGUGUCUAGCAUUCUGCAUUUCCAGAACUGUCUCGAAGGAAGAGAACUGUCACUAAGGCUUAUUGUCGGGCAACUAGGUGUCCAGCAUUCUACAGUUCUAGACAGUUCGGAGUGUAUAAAGACAGUUGAACAGUCGCAGAGGAAGAGAAAUGUAGUGAAAGCUGAUUGUCUUGUGGGUAAUAGAAUGUUCCUUAAUAGCUUGUCUUAGAAGCUUAAACUUUUUCUCAAAGAUUAUGCACUUGCCAACCAUGGCCUAUACGACAUUUUUGUUUUAAAGAAAGAGUAAAUUAGACACUGUACAUUUAGAAGUGAUCAUUUGUACAAUAUUGUCAAGAAGUGGCCAUCUUUUUUCUUUUUCUUUUUCUUUUUUUUUUUUUUCACUCUCCUAUAAAGCGGCUAUUUUAGAAAAAAAAAUGUUAAGACCACAACAUUUCAAACUCUGAAUUAGCAACUAUGGCUAUUUGUACAUCUUCCAAGGAUUAAAUAUUAUUUCAUUCUCAUACCUGCAUGAAAGAUAGAGUUUCCUUGCUUGAUUGAUAGAAAUCUAAAGUAAUCCCUCCAUAUCAAUUCGAACAAAACCCUGAAAGGCAAAGAAGUGUUUCAGAGAUAGAUUAUGAGACAGUUUAAAUCCUUAACGAAUAUAUAGUAGCUUGAAAUUUUAAGGUUUUGGGUUUUUAUCUCUUGAUAUUUUCUAGCAUACAAUAACAGUGACAGGAAUAUCAACUUUCAGUGUAAGAAAUCAAGUUUUAAUUAUUACCUUCCAUUUCCUUAAAGAGUACCAAGAGGCAAGAAAGUAAACUGAACUAGUCAGAUAGAAAAUCUAUAUUUAUACUGCAUUAUCGGAUUCUCAAUUUGAUUCAACAGGAAGUAGAUACUCAGGAAAAAAAAAAUUAGAUGAAAUAGAGAAUAUUAUAAACUAUAGUCGAAAUCCACUCUUCGGAUAAGAUGGCAUGCAUAAACCAUAACACAUAAACACAAAUGACGAUAUACCAGCAUGUACUAUCAAUUUAGUUUUUUAAUAUGCAUACAUGCCUAUCUACAUACACGUUUCACAACCAGAUACACAUGGGCAUAGUAACAGAAAAAGAAAUUACCAGUAAGUUGAAUCAUUUGAUUCUCGCUCCCUUUCAAAUCUCUUCACCUAAACAAGUUAAGUUCAAAGCAUCAGUGUUCAUUGACAUAAUAAUAGUGCUAAUGUGAAAUUUGAAGUAAAAAUACGUAUCUUUGUACCUCUUCGUAAAUAAAACGAGGUGAAAGGCUUCCAGAGGCAAGCCAAGGAGAGAAUUUUGUGGAGUAAUCAGGUCCUAACAUUCCAUUACGUGUUUCUUUGUAGGUCCUCAAUAGAUUCUACAGCAGGCAAAAGAAAAAAAAUAAUUGCACAAUUUGAUUAUCUUUAAUUGAAGCAACAAUAUCAGUUUCUUAUGACCUAAUGUUGAUACUUUCUGUUCAAACCAAUUUGCAGAUUUGUCCCUGGAUUUGAAGUAUUAGCUUACCAUUACAAAGAAGAUUUUUAUUAAUUUUCUUUGAUCUAUCUAGUAAAUCCAUUUUUCUUCGAGGCAAGUAAAGAAGUCGAAAACUGUCUCCAGAAAUUCUGUAACCUAUUUUAUAUGGAAUCUUCCGUCUUCAAAAUACUUGCAUGUGAAUUAAACCUUGCCUUUUGUCUUCCUUUUAAGCAUUUGAACUCAUUUCCAAAGCUGUCUAUUAUUAUUCAUCAGCAUGAGCCAUUCCUAGCCAUUGUUACUGACUCCUCGUUCUAUUUUGCAAUAAACACAAUCCUAGCAUGCCUUAUCAGAUAAAAGUGCCAUACAUCUCCACAGUUUUAAGUGAAAUCAAAGAAGACUCUAAAGAAAUUCUUCAUGAUUGGAAAAAGAGUUCCCAACGUAUAACUGUGUUUCGUAAGUAUAAACAAAAUGCAUGCAGCAGAAAUCCAACUUGAGAAAAAGAGAAGAGAGACAUAGAACAUAACUCCAACAUGUCCUAGUUAAUACAUCACGAGUAACUGGAAAUACAUUAAGAAAAAAACUCUUGCCUUAGUCCAGAAAUACUCGCAUACUCUACUGACUGCUGCACUUUCACCUCCCACAAAUGCCAAUCCUUUACUAACCUGCAAGAAGUGAGGUAUGUUUUACUUUAUAUUUGAUAUUUGCAAACAACAUGUUAUACUGAUCAAUGAAAGAGAAAUUGCCUUCGCUUUCUCUAGCCCAAGAACAGUAAUUUCCGGUAUACAUCCCCAAUCCUUUAUGCUGGGUGCUGGACCGAGUGAUGUUGGGAUCUUUAUGCAACUUCGCACUUUGGACUUGGAUUCAACUGACUGUGAAUUUGAUAAUCAGAGAACUAGCUUUUCUGAUGGGCAAAAUAUGUGAUCUCAAACCUAUAAGAAGAAAAUCACUACCUUACGAAACUGAGUAUACACAUCUGGCAAAGAGUUGCAACUGAAUGGAAGAUCAUCUAUAUGGUACAUACUAGACCCCCAGAUCAAUUCCAAUUUAGUGCUAUUUGUAGAAUUUGGCUUAACAGAUUGACCUAUGGAUGAUGAUAGCACAACUUUCUGCAAACUUUUGGAAACUAAUCUUUCAACAUUCAGCUCCUCACUGCAUGUUUCUUUCUGGGCAUAAACCUAUUCCAUGCAGAAGGUUUAUUUAUUAUCUUACCAUCGAAACCAAAAAAAAAAGAAAAAGAAAGAAAUUGUAUAACUGAUGACACUAUAAACGAGUUUAGGUAAAUGUCUUAACAGUGUGGACUCCAUAUGCCUUAGCAAGUGAAGGAAGAAUUUCUUCAGGUUUCCCAUUUUGAAUUAAUAGGUCUAGACCCCGCUUCAUCAAAUUCUUUUUCAAGUCAGCCAAACACUCGAUAAGAAAUUGUGCCCUCAGGCCUGCAAAAGAAAAGUGUUUGUAUCCAAUUCUUCUAAGAUAAAAAGUAGAUUAAUCGAGAAUUCAGAAAAUAACACCCCGAGUAAACUUAUAAUAUCCCACUUAGCCUCCAACAGCGAUCACGAGAAUUCAUAAUUAAUUGAGGUGCAACUUCAAGAAAUUGACAGAGUAACAGCCCAACAAUAUGUUUAUAUUUCGAUAUUCAAGCAUCACUAAGCCCUUGUUUGUCAACCAUUCUCCCACGUUCUACCACAUUAUUUUUUCUACAGUACUCAUUUUCAACCACACAUUCUCCAUUAAAAUAAUAUUACACAUUUAUCAAAAAAAAUUCCUUCUUUUUUAACACACAUUUCAACAUCAGUCACUAUUUCAUACUCCAAUUUUUGAAAUUAAAGGGCUUCAAACAGGGCCUAAAUAUAUACCUUAGCUGCUACACACAUACGAGCUUAAUGUUGAUAUUAUGUUUUAGGAGUGUCUGGGCAGUAGUAAUCUUGACACAAUUUAGUGGUGGUGCGUAUCCCAACAAAACUCUCUUAUCUUCAGCUCCAUUCGCCAUCCAAAUCCAUAGACAUGCAAAAAUGAAAUGUUUUUUAAUACUUUCCUUUCCAAUUUAUCUCUCUAACCAUGCUCUAUAUCCUGGUUUCAUAUAUGGGCAAGGAUAUUCUGUUCAAUUUCGAGUUUCAUAAAAAAGGUCACAUUCUAUUUUGCCCUUUUUGGUCUAUGAAUUCUGUUCCAACCAUCCAGACAGCAAAAGAAGGGAUAUUAAUGUCCCUAUGCAAAUGUCAAGAUUAUCCUUGUGCUUCUAAUCUAGGAACAUGGGGUCUCAAAAGGUUGCACUAUAAAAGGCAUAGUGUCCUAGGCACUUCCCAGGACAUUGCCAUUGUCCUUGGUGUCCUACUCCUCUCAUGAGACCAAGUCACCAUCCUUGAAUAAUCAUCUUGUUCAUUCGCAAAAAGCAAAACAGUACCAUACGGGUUGCUUGCUUUGUCAUGCUAAAAUCGAAUAAGAUCACUUGAUCAGUAGCCUACUCACAAGUAGGGCUAAGCAUGGUCCGGAAUGAGAACCGAACCGGACCUGAAAUUUUCGGACAUCUAGUAAAUAAAACUUUUGGGUCAAAAUUUAAUUAAUGAACAAUCUGGGUUCUGUUCAGUUCGGUUCUUGGGUUUCGUACUAUAAUUAAAUCUUUUAAUAUUUACAAAGUUACAUUAAUUUAACUAAUGAUAUGUUCAAUUUUAGCUUUUACAAAAUAAUGAAGUCAAAAUUUAUGUGUCUUUUGCAUCUCUUUUUGUUGAGAUUUUCAUAAAUUUGAUUGUUAAAAUUACAGAAAGAGGGAGAAAACGAGUUCAAAAUAAUUAAGAAAGGUGUUGUCGAGCUUCUACUUGAUUUCUCCAUAACGAUAGAAGCGACAAUAUGGUAGAAUAAUAAAUUUAGGUAAGAUUUAGGUCAAUUUGAUUAAGUUGGCUUGGAUUAAAAAUUAGAAAUAGGAAAAUCAUAUUUUAGACUAAGUUAAAUUAAUUAGUUAGCAAAUUUAUCUAGAAAAAAAUAAUUUGGCUUAUUCAAAAUAAAUUAAUUAAAAAAUUAAAAAGAUUCGGUUCUUAUUCGAUUAUUCGGUUCUUGAUCUAGAAUUAAGAAUUGAAUCAAACCCGUCGGUUCUCGAUUCAUAUACCCGUUCGGGUAUUAAAUUUAAGAAGAAUCACUUGGCUCGGUUCGGUUCGGGUCUGGUUUGAUUCGGUCAAUUUGAGAGUUUUGUUCAGCCCUAACUAGCAAAAGUUAGCCUCAAGUCAAGUUGCCUACAGAUUUUCGUAGACUAUAGAACCAAGAUCAGUAUCCAACAGAUUCCAAACUUUUGAGGUUGUGUACUCCGAUUGGAGCUUGUCAACAUAAACAUAUGAAUUUGGAGACCUAUUUGGGCUAGUGGCUUCUAUAUUUACAUUUAAUUUCCUAGUACAGAGUAUUGACAUGCAGGAAUUAUCCAACAGAUUCCAAACUUAGUGUUUGUGAUUGUUCCAGAAGAAAUGAAAACCUUGAUAUACCCCAGAAUAAUACAUUUUUGUUACGACGAGACAUAUUGGCAGCCGCUGAUCCCUUCGUUUCACUUGGUUGGGGCAGAGUUUCAGCCUUCCUUCCACCGAAUCUAAAAAACCUUAGAGCACCCCCUACAUAUUUGAUACCUUCUCCUACAAAGAAACUUAUAACACCAACCCCAUUUAAUUUAGGAAAAAUUUCUAUUUCCAAGCUUUCAGAAUAAUUAUUUAUGAUUGAAGGUUGUGUACUCCGAUUGGAGCUUGUCAACAUAAACAUUUAAAUUUAGAGACCUAUUUGGGCUAGUGGCUUUUGUAUUUACAUUUAAUUUCCUAGUACAGAGUAUUGACAUGCAGGAAUUAAUUGACGCCUCAGAUCAUGAAAGCACAACUUUGACCAACUUGAUUUGCUGGAUGAUAAACCUGUGGCAUUUUCCAUUGGAAAGCAAGAUAGGUUGCAUAAGCCCAUAACCGACCCUUCCAAAGGUCAAUCUACCUCUGGAAACAUGUAUUCCCAUUGAGGAAGGAGAGAAUGAUAGUGGGUUCUAUUGAAGAAAAAAAUUCUUUUUUUCUUGUGAUCCUUAUUAGAGUAUUCUUUCCAAAUGCUGUCAACAUUACGUGAUAGAUUCAACAGUUUUGCUUUUAGCACGUUCCCACCAAAACCAACCCAUUCCUCAGCAGAUGAUUGUUGAGGACAUGCUUCUUUUAGGAAAUUCUCUAGUCACAUCUGUCUCCUCUUUCUACUAAGAUCAUUUUCAUACGAUUUCUAAGGAAACCGGAGGUUACUUCCAAAACAUAAUUCUUCCCAUUUCAGCUUUCUGAUACUGAAUGCAAUUGCUUCGGAACAAGACACUAGGUCUGCUUAGGUUGGGCCCAUAAUCAAUCUCCUCCAUGUUUGUCUAUUCAGUAAACAAUUUGAAUUCAGUCAAUACAGCAGAGCUCAUUUACAUAAUAAAUCAUGCUUCGGAUUGUUCUCCCUACUUUUUCUGAACAUGAUCUUGUUCAUCUUCCAAUUUUUUUUUAUACAUUAGGAACCUUGUGACCAACAAUAUUUGUUUCUCAUAUAUUGUAACCUCUAGAUUAAUAGUGUUUUUUAAAGUAUUGUUUAAAAUAAUAAUUUAAAUUUAUUUAUUUUCUUUGAGAAUCGUAUAUGGCAAACCCAGUUUCAAAUUCCAUGAAUAUAAACAGUCUUAAAAGCAAUAAGAGUGACCCAACCCAAUCACCGCCUUGUUUCACUUUGAUAGUAAAACUUUCCUUUUUCAAAUUAAUCCCUCAUCUUUCAUUUUUGCUUUGUUAUAGCAGUCUAACUCUAUCUACUAAAUUAACAAGAAUACCGACCUUGCUAACAGAAAAAUAUGUCAAUGACGUGAAGAAAACAGAUAACAGCGGGAAAAUUCGUUGAGGAAGAAAACUGCAAGUUUUGUACCUCCAGUUUUAGGGAAACCAAAGUAACGGGUGGUCGAAAAAAGCCUCGGAUCAACACAAUACACAGGCAAAACAGCCUCCGAUGAAAACCAGGCCAUAAGCAAAGCCUCAUUAUCCAAUACCCUCAAAUCAUUUCUGAACCAAACAAUGGCCACCCCUUUGCCUUUCCUCUUGGGCAAUGAUUCAGCAGUGUAUCUCCGAAACGUCUGUUCAGCUAUUCGGUCGAUUUCUUCAGAACAGAAACCGGGCACCUGAUGCACCGUUGUUUCAGCGCGGAUAGGUUUGGAAAAUUGCAUCGUAUUAUUGGUUGAGAAUUUGUGUAGGAAAAGUGCGAAUUCUGUUAGCGGAAGAGUUUUUAUGGGACGUAAAUUUGUGCAGAGAGAAUGGAGCAUGAUUGGAUGGAGUUCUUGUUUUCAUGAGUAAUGACGAGUUGGAAAAAGCGUCUUUUUGGAAGCGCCAUGGCGUGGCAAUUUCUGAGCCACCAUUAAUCAGUGACAGCCAUGAGGACACCAAGCUCUUUCUCGUAGAGAGAUGGUGGCAUCAUGGCAUGGCAUGGCAUUGCAUUAUUUCAACUUGUAAAUUUAACCGGUGCUCAAUAAACUUUAAACUUGAUUACUACUUAGUUACUCAUUUUUCACGGGUUACUAAAUAUUCACUCAUCUUUCCAUAUAGUUAUUCAUCCAUUAAUCGUCUCUUCAAAUAAUUGGACGACUUUUGCGGCAACUUUUCGACAACUUCUGAUCACCAAGAAUGUCGAAUUUUGAUACUGUUGAAAAGCCCACGAUAUUUUCUUCAAUUGUCACCCAAAAUCUCCCCAUAACUUCAAGGGAUUCGAUUGGAAAAUUGUCUUAAAAGUCGUCCAAAAAUUCUGAAAAUCUGGGUAGAUGUUCAAAAUUUUUGGGCGACAUUUAAGGCAAUUUUUCGGCAACUUCCGACCAUCAAAACUGUCGAACUUUGAUACCGUUGGAAAGCACACAAUGUCCUCUUCAAUUACCACCAAAAAUUUCUCCAUAACUCCAAAUGAUUCGAUCGGAAUAAACCUAUAAAAUCAGCAUCCCGAAAAUGCGAAAAUUUGGACACAGUUCGGGAUGCUGACUUUGUGGGUUUAUUUCGACCGAAUUUUUUGAAGUAAUGGGGAAAUUUUGGAUGGUAAUUAAAGAUGACAGUGUGGGUUUUCCAACGAUAUCAAAAUCCGACAGUUUUGAUAGUCGGAAGUUGCCGAAAAUUUGCUUUAAAAGUCUCCCAAAAAAUCUGAAAAUCUGUGCAGAUUUUCAGAAUUUUGGGCGACUUUUAAGGCAAUUUUCCGAUUGAAUCUCUUGGAGUUAUAGGGAGAUUUUGGGUGGUAAUUGAAAAGGAUAUCGUGGGCUUUUCAAUAUUAUCAAAAUUCGGCAUUCUUGGUAGUCGGAAGUUGUCGAAAAGUUGCCGAAAAAGUCGUCCAAUUAUUUGAAGAGACGAGUGGUGGAUGAGUAACUAUAUAGAAAGAUGAGUGAGUAUUCAGUAACCCGUGAAACAUAAGUGAGCAAGUAGUAACCAAGUUUAAAAUUCAGUGAGCAUUAGUUAAAUUUACUCUUAUUUCAACUAAAAGUGGGUUCGGCAAAAAAAAAAUUUGAAGUUUAUAAAUUAAUUAAAUAUUAUUUUAUUUAGACAUUCUUUAACAGCCUGUUCAAUAGUAAUUAGAAGAAUUGAUUUUUCAACCAUUAGAGAGAAAAAUGGAUCUCACCUGUGAAUGAAGAAGUUAAAAAUGAUGAUUGAAAUAGUGAAAUAACGGUCAAAAAAUUAUUUUUUUGGUGAAAAAUUGCUAUCAAAUAGGAGCUAAGUUCAAUAGAUUUUAUUUAUUAAUAAUACAUUUUUUGAGAGACAUUAUUAUAUUAUAAAUACUUAAAAUUUUAGAUAAGCAAGUACUAAGUCAAACGCCUAUUAUAAAUUAACUAUUUAUACAUUGAAGUUCGAUAGUUUUACUUAUGAGACUAGUUGUCUUGGUGAUAUGAGCAAGAAAAAAGAAAGUAUUGCUCCUGCAUGCAAUUAGAGGUGGUAAUGGGUCGAGCCGACAUAUGAGCUCGACUCGUGCUCAAGGGGCAAACUCGACUCGGCCUAUGAGCUCGUGAGUUCACAUGUAAUUAGUUGUCUUGGUGAUAUGAGCAAGAAAAAAGAAAGUAUUGCUCCUGCAUGCAAUUAGAGAUGGUAAUGGGUCGAGCUGGCACACGAGCUCGGCUCUUGCUCAAGAGGCGAGAUCAGCUCAGCCCACGAGCUCGCGAGUUCACAAGCCCUCGUGAACUUUUGGCUCGUGGGCUUGCUCGCGAGCUUGACGAGCCGAGUUCCCACCCUCGUUGGACUCGUGCUUGGGCUCGUCAAAUGAUGAGCCCAAGCUUUAACAAGCCGAGCGCCAUUUGACAUCCCUGCAUGCAAUUAUAUUUUUACCACUCUUCUAAAUAUUUUAACUAUUACAACAUGUGUUGGAAGGUGUUCAUAAAAAAGUUUAAUUUAUAAUAUGGGAGAAGGGGGUGAAGAAUAAUUGAAUGGGGAAUUGGUGGUUGUACAUUCGAGCUCACAACUCGGAUGACAAUCCCAUCACAUGCGGGGGGGCCACAAUUUUUUUUGUUGAGCGUGAGCCCCUCACAUGUGAGGGGGCUAUACAUGUAGAGUCCGAACUGAAUUGUAUAUAUAACUUAGUCCAAUUGAAUAAUAUUUGAAUAUCUUUCGAGAGUAAAAAAAGUGGCUUUGAGUUUAUAUACUUGAGUAUCAUAUAAUCAUAAUAGGUGAUUAUUAGUUUGAUGGAUUUUUGCCCCUUUUGUCAUAUUGUUCUAACAUGUAACUCUUGUUGUCAAACGUAUAUCAUAAAGUAUUGAAUAAUAUUUGUGCAUCUUUCGAAAUAUGUGAAUAAAAAAGUGGCUUGGUAUUUAUAGACCUUAGUAUCGUCUAUUUAUAAUAGAUGAUUAUUAGUUUGAUGGAUUUUUGUCCUUUUCAUUAUUUUGUUUUGACAUUAAGUCUUGUUGUCACACGUAUAUCAUAAAGUGUAUUAAAUCGACUAACUUUAUUAGUUUGGCAACCAUUUAUUAUGUUAUAAAAAAUGUUAAAGUGACACGUCUUGAAAAUCUAGUUACCUAGAGGCAAAUCAACAUGUACCAAAAAAAGUUACAGAGCAUCACUUGUCCCUUCACUUUCGUGGGGGUUAACACAGAAGGGGAAUGCAGGGUCGAGUGAAAUAACAAGAAUUAUAAUGGGUCAGAGUCGCUGGAAAAAUACC